rnacentral:lncRNA from 1 species
AUGCAUUGUGGGAGCGCGGCGCCAUUUUCGGGCUCUACGAAUAAAAAGAGACACUGUGUUGGAACGAAGACGACAAGAAUCAUGCUUAAAAGCAGCUCCAAAGAAAACGGACGGUAUAGAGACCGAUUGCGUCCAGAGGCGAAGCAGCGGUACUUGAAAAAAAUAGAGUGCAACGCAAAUCUGGACCCAUAUGAAAUACGGCAGUGGAGUAAAGACCCAGACGACUUACCGCCACUGUCCUACCCAGAUAUCUUCACCUAUCUUGUUUGUGGAGUAAGCGCCUACACAGCGAACCAGUUUCGUAAUUACAAGUCACUGGAGGCGCACAUACAAUUUACAAACGGCUGGGUGCAAGAUUUGGCUAUUUUCAAGCCGCCAAACUGCGAGUACGUCGUGAUUCAUACCAAGGUACUGCACUCCCAAAGAUUGAAUGAACCUGCAUUACGGCCAUGGGUAAUUGUAAGCACCACGGGGAAGGUCGAAGCCGCACACUGCACCUGUAUGGCCGGAGUUGCAGAGACCUGCACCCAUGUCGCUGCACUGCUGUUUAAAGUGGAGGCAACAGUGAGGAUCCGUGGCACAAAGACUGUCACAGAUGAAUCAGCCUACUGGGUUUUGCCGGGGAACACAACCAAGAUACUGCCAGCGGCUGGCCAUAACAUUGACUAUACAUCUUCAGCAGCACAAAAAAAGACUCUUGAUGAAAAUAUAAACAGACCGUCUGUGGUGAAAGGCAGAAGAAGCCGUCCUUCAAAAAGAAAGAUUCCUUCUUCUACGUUUGAGGAGUUGUCACCAGUGUUAGACACACUUCAAAAACACAAUAAAGCAGUGUGUUUGUCUGGAUUGGAGAAAUACUACACAUCACACACUGUCAAGUCAUCCACAUUACCACUGUCUCUGGCGUGUUUGCAAAACACAGGAGCAGAGUCCCUUGGCCUUACCGAGCUACAACUGCACUGUGUAAAGUACGAAAACGCAGCAAAAGUUACUGAAGAACAGGCAGAAGCUAUUGAGGUACACACAAGACUACAACACAAGAACCCAGAAUGGUAUGUUUGGCGUGCUGGGAGAAUCACGGCUUCAAUGAUGCACGCUGUGUGUGCCACCACUGUAGAAAAACCCGCCAUUACUGUGGAAUACCCGCCUACACCCAGAAAAUGUCAGCGUGUCACAAAAACCUACAGGUCCGUAUGUGUGGUUUUCUUGUUAACACGGCUUUUCCUGAAGUAG